GGCUCAGGACGAACGCUGGCGGCGUGCCUAAUACAUGCAAGUCGAACGGUCUUUCUAUGGAAGCUUGCUUCCACUGAGAAGAUAGUGGCGAACGGGUGAGUAACACGUGGGUAACCUGCCCAUAAGAGGGGGGAUAACGUCCGGAAACGGGUGCUAAUACCGCAUAGUUUUCUUGAUCGCAUGAUCGGGAAAGGAAAGACGGCCUUUGUGCUGUCGCUUAUGGAUGGACCCGCGGCGUAUUAGUUAGUUGGUGAGGUAACGGCUCACCAAGACGAUGAUACGUAGCCGACCUGAGAGGGUGAUCGGCCACAUUGGGACUGAGACACGGCCCAAACUCCUACGGGAGGCAGCAGUAGGGAAUCUUCCGCAAUGGACGAAAGUCUGACGGAGCAACGCCGCGUGAGUGAAGAAAGGUUUUCGGAUCGUAAAACUCUGUUGUCAGAGAAGAACAAGUUGGAGAGUAACUGCUCCAGCCUUGACGGUAUCUGACCAGAAAGCCACGGCUAACUACGUGCCAGCCGCCGC
rnacentral:rRNA from 1 species